GACAGAGGGGGCUAGCGUUGCUCGGAAUUACUGGGCGUAAAGGGCGCGUAGGCGGGGCGGCAAGUCGGUCGUGAAAUCCUCCGGCUCAACCGGAGAACGUCGGCCGAAACUGCCGUUCUUGAGGGAUGCAGAGGAGACUGGAAUUCCCGGUGUAGCGGUGAAAUGUGUAGAGAUCGGGAGGAACACCGGUGGCGAAGGCGGGUCUCUGGGCAUCUCCUGACGCUGAGGCGCGAAAGCGUGGGGAGCAAACGGG
rnacentral:rRNA from 1 species